UACGGGGGGGGCAAGCGUUGUUCGGAAUUACUGGGCGUAAAGGGCUCGUAGGCGGCCAACUAAGUCGGACGUGAAAUCCCCAGGCUCAACCUGGGAACUGCGUCCGAUACUGGAUGGCUUGAAUCCGGGAGAGGGAUGCAGAAUUCCAGGUGUAGCGGUGAAAAUGCGUAGAUAUCUGGAGGAAUACCGGUGGCGAAGGCGGCAUCCUGGACCGGCAUUGACGCUGAGGAGCGAAAGCCAGGGGAGCAAACGGG
rnacentral:rRNA from 1 species